rnacentral:rRNA from 1 species
CAGCGUUAUCGGAUUCUGGGCGUAAGCGUGCGUAGGUGGUUUGUUUAGUCAGAUGUGAAAGCCCCGGGCUCAACCUGGGAACUGCAUUUGAAACUGGCAAACUAGAGUAUAGGAGAGGAAAGUGGAAUUUCAGGUGUAGCGGUGAAAUGCGUAGAUAUCUGAAGGAACAUCAAUGGCGAAGGCAGCUUUCUGGACUAAUACUGACACUGAGGUACGAAAGCGUGGGUAGCAAACAGGAUUAGAUACCCUGGUAGUCCACGCCGUAAACGAUGAUAACUAGCCGUUGGGGGGAUUUACCCUUUAGUGGCGAAGCUAACGCGUUAAGUUAUCCGCCUGGGGAGUACGGCCGCNAGGUUA